AACGCGAAGAACCUUACCUACUCUUGACAUCCUGCGAAUCUGACGUAAUGGUUGGAGUGCCGAAAGGAGCGCAGAGACAGGUGCUGCAUGGCUGUCGUCAGCUCGUGUUGUGAGAUGUUGGGUUAAGUCCCGUAACGAGCGCAACCCUUAUCCUUAGUUACCAGCACGUAGAGGUGGGGACUCUAAGGAGACUGCCGGUGAAGAACCGGAGGAAGGCGGGGACGACGUCAAGUCAUCAUGGCCUUUAUGAGUAGGGCUACACACGUGCUACAAUGGAGCGUACAGAAGGAAGCCAACCCGCGAGGGGGAGCCAAUCCAACAAAGCGCUUCGUAGUCCGGAUUGAAGUCUGCAACUCGACUUCAUGAAGUUGGAAUCGCUAGUAAUCGCGAAUCAGCACUGUCGCGGUGAAUACGUUCCCGGGCCUUGUACACACCGGAGUGC
rnacentral:rRNA from 1 species